rnacentral:rRNA from 1 species
GAUGAACGCUAGCUACAGGCUUAACACAUGCAAGUCGAGGGGCAGCGGGAUUGAAGCUUGCUUCAAUUGCCGGCGACCGGCGCACGGGUGAGUAACGCGUAUCCAACCUUCCGUUUACUCAGGGAUAGCCUUUCGAAAGAAAGAUUAAUACCUGAUAGUAUGGUGAGAUUGCAUGAUAGCACCAUUAAAGAUUUAUUGGUAAACGAUGGGGAUGCGUUCCAUUAGGUAGUAGGCGGGGUAACGGCCCACCUAGCCGACGAUGGAUAGGGGUUCUGAGAGGAAGGUCCCCCACAUUGGAACUGAGACACGGUCCAAACUCCUACGGGAGGCAGCAGUGAGGAAUAUUGGUCAAUGGACGCGAGUCUGAACCAGCCAAGUAGCGUGAAGGAUGACUGCCCUAUGGGUUGUAAACUUCUUUUGUCAGGGACGAAAAGGACCGUGUUAAUACCAUGGUCUGCUGACGGUACCUGAAGAUAAGCACCGGCUAACUACGUGCCAGCAGCCG